rnacentral:rRNA from 1 species
GACGAACGCUGGCGGCGUGCUUAACACAUGCAAGUCGAACGCUGAAGCUCAGCUUUUGUUGGGUGGAUGAGUGGCGAACGGGUGAGUAACACGUGAGUAACCUGCCUCCUUCUUUGGGAUAACGCCCGGAAACGGGUGCUAAUACUGGAUAUUCACUGGUCUUCGCAUGGGGGUUGGUGGAAAGGGUUUUUCUGGUGGGGGAUGGGCUCGCGGCCUAUCAGCUUGUUGGUGGGGUGAUGGGCUACCAAGGCUUUGACGGGUAGCCGGCCUGAGAGGGUGACCGGUCACAUUGGGACUGAGAUACGGCCCAGACUCCUACGGGAGGCAGCAGUGGGGAAUAUUGCACAAUGGGCGCAAGCCUGAUGCAGCGACGCCGCGUGAGGGAUGGAGGCCUUCGGGUUGUGAACCUCUUUCGCUCAUGGUCAAGCCGCAACAAUGGUUGUGGUGAGGGUAGUGGGUAAAGAAGCGCCGGCUAACUACGUG